AGCGAACGCUGGCGGCAGGCUUAACACAUGCAAGUCGAGCGGGCCUUUCGGGGUCAGCGGCGGACGGGUGAGGAACGCGGGGGAACGUGCCCUCUGGUUCGGGAUAACUCAGGGAAACUUGAGCUAAUACCGGAUACGCCCCUCUGGGGCAAGGCACGAUGCCGGAGGUUAGGCCGGAGUCUGAUUAACUGGGUGGUGAGGUAAGGGCGCAUGAAGGCGAAGAUCGGUAGCUGGUCUGAGAGGCUGGGAGGCCACACUGGGACUGAGACACGGCGCAGACUCCUACGGGAUGCGGGAGUGGGGAAUAUUGGACAAUGGGCUGAAGCCUGAUCCAGCCAGGCCGCGUGAGUGAUGAAGGCCUUAGGGUUGUAAAGCUCUUUUAUCCCGGACGAUAAUGACGGUACCGGAAGAAUAAGCCCCGGCUAACUUCGUG
rnacentral:rRNA from 1 species